UAUAGUACAGCGUUUUCAGCCGCUCCAGCGUUUGUAUGUGUACGCAGACAUUUCUUGACACAACGCCGUGAUUAUGAGAUUUUAAAAAGUAGGCUACCGUUUUCGAAAAAGACCGUAUUAGUUGUGUUGAUAAGUUAACUAUAGCACAUAAUCACUUGCUUGCUAAGAGACUGUCGCCACAGGCUUGUGUUGAAAUUACUUGAUAGUAAUGAAUGAACACGAUUGUAUUUUAUAUUCAUGUGCGGUUUUCAUGUCAUGAGGUUAAAUCAUCUUGACACCAUGAAUCUGACUUAUGUAUUGAUAACUCGUCAGCAACGCUAGUUUGGUAAGCGACUACAGCUAUUGACAGAUUACAGUCUGUCUGACCAAUUAUAGAUUGAUUGCACUGACCAAAAGAGCUUGACUACUAAAGUCUAAUUUAUGGUCGGGCUCUGUAAAGUGCCUUGAGACAAUUUUAUUGCCAGACAGAUUAAGGACGACCCCACUCUGCAGAACGAGUCUACUCCUAUGAUACAACUGCUCAACUGCAGGCAUCAUCAGUUGAUGCUCCAGCUUAACCAGGUGUGAAGAGUUUAGCAGUGCACCAGCAGAGAGCGGAUGGCCUCUGAAUUGUUCCAGGCCCAGGCCAUGACCGGGGUGGCACAGUGGAACUACCAACGGCUGGUGGACCGUAAGGAGCCAGGUGUCAUCCUCCCUGCUGUGUUUGAUCCAGCUGUAAUGGCUGAGUUGAAGUCUGCCUCCAACAAUCCAUUGGCCAGCCGCUCUCUGCUGGUGCACUGCUAAAGCAGGAGAUGCCAACAGACGACCACCAGGAACCUCCAGCAGCAAUGGAACUCUCACAUGCCCUGCCCCUGCUGCUGAGGUCCUCGGCGAGGAGUGCCCGCACCCAAGACAGCUGGACGGGUUUUUUGUGUUGGACAAAACACGCUGGACGCCACCCAUGAAAGAUGCUAUUGACUGCAUGCUGCACAUGGUCCAUCGGUCUGCCACAGAUCCCAACAGCUUGCUGCACCCCUCGACCAGGUUGCACAUAUCCUGCUAUGUGAAGCACCUGGCAAAAUUCCUUAACACGUUCGUCUUUAAACACAAGCAAGGAAAAACUUCUGGAGACUCAGCAGCUGUGGCACUCUAUAACAGAGGGGAGUGAGACGGCUACUGUUCCUGUGGUCACUAUGGUGCCGGCUAUUGUCAAUUCACCUGCACCUCCCCUGUCCACACCUCUGACACAAGGCUCAAUUGAGAAAAUUGUGGAAGGCAUCUUUGAGAAGCAGCAGCACCAGCCAGAACAGAACAGAACAGAAGACAGACAAAGACCUGUCUUGCCUGUGGACAGCCCGUCUUGAUAUGAGACUGAUGAAGGAGCUAUUAUUGCUUUAUUGUGUUCCAGAAAUCUCACAUGCUCUGUCCCUGCUGUUGAGGUCCUCGCCAUGGCGAGAGUGCACAUUCACAUUUGUUGUACACACACGCACACAGUACUCCCUUGAUUACAGUCAUUUGGAGCACAGGGAUAUACGUCUAUGCUUGCCAUUUUCAUUUAGUCAUUGUGAAAAGGUAUAUUUAAAUGCUGGCCUUAAAUGUUCCAUAUCAUUUCUGAAAUGCUUAUCUUUCUGAUUACAAUCCACACGUUUACAUUUGUAUAAAGCGUGCGGUCUUAUUUGAUACAUGUCAUUUGAUACAUAUAUUUUUUUCUGUUAUAAAUGUGCCUUUAUUUUAUCUGUGUGAUUCAGACUGUAUGUUAAACUGACCUCAAUGCAUCAGGCCCGCCAGGCAGAUGCCCCCUUUUGAUCAAGUUUCAUUCUUUUUAAAGGAAAGUUGGUCGUUGUUAAUAGGUGUUUGUUUGGCAGUUUCCUUUGUCAUUGUAA